AUUGAACGCUGGCGGCAUGCCUUACACAUGCAAGUCGAACGGCAGCACGGGUGCUUGCACCUGGUGGCGAGUGGCGAACGGGUGAGUAAUACAUCGGAACAUGUCCUGUAGUGGGGGAUAGCCCGGCGAAAGCCGGAUUAAUACCGCAUACGAUCCACGGAUGAAAGCGGGGGACCUUCGGGCCUCGCGCUAUAGGGUUGGCCGAUGGCUGAUUAGCUAGUUGGUGGGGUAAAGGCCUACCAAGGCGACGAUCAGUAGCUGGUCUGAGAGGACGACCAGCCACACUGGAACUGAGACACGGCCCAGACUCCUACGGGAGGCAGCAGUGGGGAAUUUUGGACAAAGGGCGAAAGCCUGAUCCAGCAAUGCCGCGUGUGUGAAGAAGGCCUUCGGGUUGUAAAGCACUUUUGUCCGGAAAGAAAUCCUUGGCUCUAAUACAGUCGGGGGAUGACGGUACCGGAAGAAUAAGCACCGGCUAACUACGUG
rnacentral:rRNA from 1 species